GCGGCACCGGGUGGACCCGCUUGUUCCCGCCUCCCUCUUCGCCCAGCCAGUUCCCGUUGGCUGUCUGUCUGGGACAGGCACAAUGAUGGCGCUCCUGGAGCUCGGGGGCGGGGAGCUUUUCAGAGUGUAGAAUUUUCCUGCGAGUUGGACUCUUCACCAACUGACUGUCCCGAGGGGGCUGAAGCUGCUGCCCGGGUCAGUGGCGAGGUUCGGCGCAAUCUCUGGCUUGUAACUAGAGUCCGACGCUGGAUGCGCGGGGUGACGGUGCUGUCUUCACGUGAGCUUUUCAGUCUUCUUUAGCCCUGACUCAGUCAGAAGCCUAGUCGGGCGCGUUUGGCACCGCACCGUCAGUCCUACAGAUGCAUUCAAUUAAUGUCCGGGGAGAGGUCUCUGAGCUAGUUUGGUGUCUCUGCCUAGGAAGUAAAGUGUGUCGCUAGGAAGAAUCACCCUGGAUUGAAAACUGAAAACUGGAUAAAGAGAACCCCCACAACAAGGGACAGUCCUGACGAAAGCAGAAGAGUCAGUAACUCCGGCCAGAGAGGAAAAAAGCCACCUUUGGGAGCAGUGGAGCUUCUCAGCUGGCCAGGCGGGAGCCAACCUAAGGAUAUCCAGAUAGCAUCUCAAGACGCCUAAGAGUCUUGUGCUACUAUACAUCGGAAGGCGGAUGGACUUCCCCCCGGGAGGAGGUGGAAUAGGUGAAAACUCUCCGACCACCGACCCCCGGCCCCGGACAGCCUAGUUCCUGCAGGAGGCUCUCUUCCAGUGGACUCCCCCAUAGCAUGGCCGCACACCAAGGGCGGGAGUGUGCACUCACCAGUGGAGCGACGGUGGAAACAGGUGACAAC
rnacentral:lncRNA from 1 species